rnacentral:rRNA from 1 species
GACGAACGCUGGCGGCGUGCUUAACACAUGCAAGUCGAACGGAAAGGCCCUGCUUUUGUGGGGUGCUCGAGUGGCGAACGGGUGAGUAACACGUGAGUAACCUGCCCUUGACUUUGGGAUAACUUCAGGAAACUGGGGCUAAUACCGGAUAGGAGCUCCUGCUGCAUGGUGGGGGUUGGAAAGUUUCGGCGGUUGGGGAUGGACUCGCGGCUUAUCAGCUUGUUGGUGGGGUAGUGGCUUACCAAGGCUUUGACGGGUAGCCGGCCUGAGAGGGUGACCGGCGACAUUGGGACUGAGAUACGGCCCAGACUCCUACGGGAGGCAGCAGUGGGGAAUAUUGCACAGUGGGCGGAAGCGUGAUGCAGCAACGCCGCGUGCGUGAUGACGGCCUUCGGGGUGUAAACCGCUUUCGCCUGUGACGAAGCGUGAGUGACGGUAAUGGGUAAAGAAGCACCGGCUAACUACGUG